rnacentral:misc_RNA from 1 species
AGAAAGAAAGAAAGAAAGAAAGGAUUGACUUGAAUAGUUAAAACAACACUCCAGUAACAGCAAACAUUUGGAUUCCCAGUGUGGAUUAAAAAAAUAAAAUAAAAUAAAUAAGUAAAAUAAACAAAGAGCUCGUUUUGUACCAAUCCCAUUUGCAAAUACACUCAAAAUUUCAAAAGAAAAAACAGAAUAAAGCGAUAGACAUAGAUAGCUAGUGUGUGUAUAUAUAUACACCACUGUUUUUCAUAUAUUUUUAUUUCCCCCUUUUAUUAAAAAAAAAACAAACCAAAAUGAACAACAA